rnacentral:rRNA from 1 species
GACGAACCGUGCGAACGUUAUUCGGAAUCACUGGGCUUAAAGGGCGCGUAGGCGGGUUGCCAAGUCUGUGGUGAAAUCCUCCAGCUUAACUGGAGAACGGCCGUGGAUACUGGCGACCUCGAGGGGGGUAGGGGCUUGCGGAACUGUGCGUGGAGCGGUGAAAUGCGUUGAUAUGCACAGGAACUCCGGUGGCGAAGGCGGCGAGCUGGACCCUUUCUGACGCUGAGGAGCGAAAGCGUGGGGAGCGAACAGG